AAUUCUCAACCUUUCAAGUUUUUAUUUAAGAGCUUGAUUAGUGUUGGAUUAUGGAAGCAUGCUGGUUCUAGUUAAAUCAGCUCUUCUUAAAUGCAUUAGCAAGAUUAAUCACUAAAAAUCAUCUUUGAUAUGAUAAUUAUCUAUAUCAUUAAUGAAACAGUGUUUGUCUUUUCUUGCUUCUAAUUGGCGUGUCUCUUUGGAGACCGAUGCUUGAAUC
rnacentral:misc_RNA from 1 species